UACGGAGGAGGCAAGCGUUAUCCGGAAUUAUUGGGCGUAAAGCGUCCGUAGAUGGUCGUUUCAAGUCUGCUGUCAAAGACCGGGGCUUAACCCCAGAAAGGCGGUGGAAACUGAACAGCUAGAGAGAGGUAGGGGUAGAGGGAAUUCCCAGUGUAGCGGUGAAAUGCGCAGAUAUCGGGAGGAACACCAAUGGCGAAGGCAGCUUGCUGGGACGGUACUGACGCUGAGACGCGAAAGCGUGGGGAGCAAACAGG
rnacentral:rRNA from 1 species